UACGGAGGGUGCGAGCGUUGUCCGGAAUCACUGGGCGUAAAGGGCGCGUAGGUGGCCUGUGGAAGUCUGCGGUGAAAGCCCGGCGCUCAACGCCGGGUCGACCGUGGAUACUCUCGGGCUUGAGCUUACUAGAGGCAGAUGGAAUUCCGGGUGUAGCGGUGGAAUGCGUAGGAUAUCUGGGAGGAACACCGGUGGCGAAGGCGGCG
rnacentral:rRNA from 1 species